AGGAUGAACGCUGGCGGUCUGCUUAACACAUGCAAGUCGAACGGAGUAGCAAUACUUAGUGGCGGACGGGUGAGUAACGCGUGAGAAUCUACCUUCAGGACGGAGACAACAGUUGGAAACGACUGCUAACCCCCGAUGUACCGCAAGGGCAAAUAUUUAUAGCCUGAAGAAGAGCUCGCGUCCGAUUAGCUAGUUGGAGAGGUAAAAGCUCACCAAGGCGACGAUCGGUAGCUGGUCUGAGAGGACGAUCAGCCACACUGGGACUGAGACACGGCCCAGACUCCUACGGGAGGCAGCAGUGGGGAAUUUUCCGCAAUGGGCGAAAGCCUGACGGAGCAAGACCGCGUGGGGGAAGAAGGCUCUUGGGUUGUAAACCCCUUUUCUCUGGGAAGACGUUGUGAAGCAGCCUGACGGUACCAGAGGAAUCAGCAUCGGCUAACUCCGCGCCAGCAGCCGC
rnacentral:rRNA from 1 species